UACGUAGGGACCGAGCGUUGUCCGGAUUCAUUGGGCGUAAAGAGCUCGUAGGCGGCUGUUCAAGUCGAACGUGAAAACUCGGGGCUCAACUCCGAGCCUGCGUUCGAUACUACAUGGCUAGAGUGCGUUCGGGGCAGAGGGAAUUCCUGGUGUAGCGGUGAAAUGCGUAGAGAUCAGGAAGAACACCGGUGGCGAAAGCGCUCUGCUAGGCCGCAACUGACACUGAGGGACGAAAGCUAGGGGAGCGAAUGGG
rnacentral:rRNA from 1 species